rnacentral:rRNA from 1 species
CAUGCAAGUCGAACGAGCUUUCUCUUCUCGCAAGAGGGGGGGGAGCGAGUGGCGGACGGGUGAGGAACACGUGGGUGACCUACCCUGAAGUGAGGGAUACCGGCGAGAAAUCGCCGACAAUCCCGCAUAGGCUUGUUCUCUCGCGAGAGAGGGCAAGCAAAGCUUCUCGCAAGAGGGGCGCUUUGGGAUGGGCCCGCGGCCGAUUAGCUGGUUGGUGGGGUAAGAGCCUACCAAGGCAUCGAUCGGUAGCUGGUCUGAGAGGACGAUCAGCCACACUGGGAUUGAGAACGGCCCAGACUCCUUCGGGGGGCAGCAGUGAGGAAUUUUCGGCAAUGGGGGCAACCCUGACCGAGCAACGCCGCGUGCAGGAAGAAGGUCUUCGGAUCGUAAACUGCUUUUCUCUGGGAAGAGAAUGGACGGUACCAGAGGAAGAAGCCCCGGCUAACUACGUGCCAGCAGCCGCGGUAAUACGUAGGGGGCGAGCGUUGUCCGGAGUUACUGGGCGUAAAGGGCACGCAGGCGGUCAGGUCAGUUUGGGGUUACAGCUCCCGGCUCAACUGGGAGAGCGCCUUGAAGACGGCCUGACUUGAGAGCCAGAGAGGGACACAGAAUUCCGGGUGUAGUGGUGAAAUGCGUAGAUAUCCGGAGGAAUACCAAAGGCGAAGGCAGUGUCCUGGCUGGUAUCUGACGCUGAGGUGCGAAAGCUAGGGGAGCGAACGGGAUUAGAUACCCCGGUAGUCCUAGCCGUAAACGAUGACCACUAGGUGUGCGGGGUAUCGACCCCCUGCGUGCCGGAGCUAACGUGAUAAGUGGUCCGCCUGGGGAGUACGGUCGCAAGAUUAAAACUCAAAGGAAUUGACGGGGACCCGCACAAGCAGCGGAGCGUGUGGUUUAAUUCGAGGCUACACGAAGCACCUUACCUGGGCUUGACAUGCAGUCGAACGAGGCGGAAACGCCGAGGGCCGCAAGGCGGCUGCACAGGUGCUGCAUGGCUGUCGUCAGCUCGUGCCGUGAGGUGUUAGGUUAAGUCCUGUAACGAGCGCAACCCCUGGCUCCAGUUACACGUAGUCUGGAGCGACUGCCCGUGACAAGCGGGAGGAAGGUGGGGAUGACGUCAAGUCAGCAUGGCCUUUAUGUCCAGGGCUACACACACGCUACAAUGGCCGGUACAAUGGGUCGCCAAGCCGCAAGGCGCAGCCAAUCCUAUCAAAGCCGGUCACAGUUCGGAUUGUGGGCUGCAACCCGCCCACAUGAAGUCGGAGU